UUCUCCUAUCUCUACCCUGAUGCAAAUGUUGAUCGCAUCUUUGCUGUUGUUUACAUGGGUGUUUCCUUCGUUUGUCUUGUCUUCAUUGUCUUUUAUUCACACAAGUCUAACGCACACUUCAGGAUCAACCUGGGUUUGGUCCUUUUUGUGCUCACCCUGCUUGUGGUUCCAGUUAUGGACGUCGUUUACAUUCAGGGUCGAGUCGGCUUGUACGAGGGGCUAUAUGUUACCAUCGGAUCGGUGGUCUUGUGUGGAGCUGCUGAUGCCGUUGUGCAGGGUGGGGUGAUUGGCUCUGCCGGUGAGCUGCCAGAGAGGUACAUGCAGGCUGUUCUGGCUGGCACCGCUGGUUCUGGUGUCCUUGUUUCGGUUUUGAGGAUUCUUACAAAAUCAAUAUACCCACAAGAUGCGAGCGGUCUGAGAGAAAGUGCAAAG
rnacentral:misc_RNA from 1 species